rnacentral:tRNA from 1 species
ACCUGGGUGGCUCAGUCCUUUGAGCAUCUGACUUCAGCUCAGGUCAUGAUCUUGUAGUUUGUGGGUUCGAGUCCCACCUAGGGCU